UACGAAGGGGGGCUAGCGUUGUUCGGAAUUACUGGGCGUAAAGCGCACGUAGGCGGACUACUAAGUCAGGGGUGAAAUCCCGGGGCUCAACCCCGGAACUGCCUUUGAUACUGAUAGUCUCGAGUCCGGAAGAGGUGAGUGGAAUUCCGAGUGUAGAGGUGAAAUUCGUAGAUAUUCGGAGGAACACCAGUGGCGAAGGCGGCUCACUGGUCCGGUACUGACGCUGAGGUGCGAAAGCGUGGGGAGCAAACAGG
rnacentral:rRNA from 1 species